ensembl:lncRNA
AUGCACCAGGUCUUACAGAAGCAGAGAUCACCCCUCCACACACCUCCAGACUGCUCCACCUCCCGCACCUACUCCUUGUCUACUCAGCCCCAGCAAUGUAUCCACCCCCACCCCAGCCCUACCCUCUCCAUACACCACUGGACCUGGUCUAGUUCCCCUCCUGCCAUCAGCUACCAGCCUCAGCCUGUCUAUGCACCUGGACCACCAGGGAUCAAUCCUCCCUGGGUUCCUCCUGGCUCCCAGCCUCCCUUUGUUGCCCUUCCCCCCUCAAUCUCACAGCCCCCCCUUUCUAAGGAAGACUUCUAUAGGCAACGACACCAUCGACAGGACAAAGUUACAUCCAAACUCGAUGAGUUCACUAAAGACUUCCAUAAAGAGCUUAUGAAGUACAGAAAUGCACCAAAAAGACGAAGACCAUCUUAUUCCAGGUCCCGGUCUUACAGUCGCUCUCCACUCAGCCGUUCUCCUUACUCGCGGUCUAGAACCAGAUCAAGAUCCAGGUCUUACUCUUUUUCCCCCAGUCGGUCCCGCUCUCGUUCACGUUCCCAUGGCCGCUCUUAUACCCGUUCCACUUAUUCCCGACGCAAUGGACGCAGUUAUGGACGCUCUCGUUCAAGGUCCCGCUCUCGUUCAAGGUCUUAUGGGUUCCGGCGUUCAGGGUCGCCACGGACCCCUCCCUCCUACCGGGGAGUAGGCUGGGAGGGAACAGAGGCUGGAGGACCGUACAGGUCGCGAUCUCGUUCACCAGGUGGCUACAGGAGCCGCAGCCCGGGUGGACGAAAGCCCCCACCACGGGAUCUGGUACCAUACGAGCUGAAGGGUCCUAGUCCUGGAAGCCACUGGGACAGAGAUAGCUAUCGACAGUGGGAGAAGGAGUACAGAGACUGGUAUAACAAGUAUUACAAAGACUAUGACAACCAGCAUGCAUCACUGCAUCACAGAGGUCAUGGCAGCAGAGACAGAGAGAGACCGAAUGUCCCCGUUACACAGAGAUUACUCUCCACAGGGAAGAGGACGAAGGGGGAGGGAAGAGAAAGCUGGUCCACCUCAUCAUUCUCAGUCUUCUUCCUCAUCAGGAACUAAGAUGAACACUAAAGUACUCAAGACUAAGAAAGUAAAGAAGAAGAAGACCGGAGAAGAAGCAGAGGCAUCCCAGCAGUCGAUGGACAGAGGUGAUGCUACACCAGUCAGAGAUGAGCCAAUGGACGAAAUUCCCCCCAUCACAAAAACCUCCCCGUUGUCCUCAAAGCCUUCCACUGGCGUAGCAACCACAAAAGCUCCAGCGUCCAAAAGCCCUGCUGCACCAGCUAAAGCCCCAACCAAGUCUACAUCCAAGACUCAGAUUGACAAGACCAAGAAGGAGAAAGGGCAGAAGGUGAAGGUUAAAGUGAAACCAGAAGGUACCAAAGUCAAAAGCGACAAGGUGAAGAAGAAAACCGGGGAAGCGGUGACCAAGAAGAAAGACUCCACCCUUUCCUCCUCUUCCUCAUCUGCUGUCUCUAAACCAUCAAAGACCAACAAAGACAAAGCAGAAGAUGCUCCUAACUCUGCAGCGCUCAAAAAGGACAAGCCUAAAACCUCCACAGUCAAGCCUUCCCUGCCUAAGACCCCUCCUCUGUCUUCCCAAAACCUGCCUCUACCCCACCCUCCCCUUCACGACGGACACCGACCCAGCCAUGCAUGCGAGGAAGGCGAGAUCUCCCCCAGGGCGGCGGGUGAUUCCCUCUCCCAUCAUCUGCAUGGACUCGCUUAUCCACCGACCACCGUCACCGGUGGACAGGAGACGGAUGGGAGAGGAGAGCCGCUCUCUACUCGGACCUCCACCCGGAAAGCUGAGGAGAAUAGAUGGACCGGGGGGCGACAUGCUGCCGCACUCACACAUGUCUCAUCCCCCCCUUCAGAGACUCGCACCUCUUCAGAUAGGCAUGGACUCCUCCUAUAAGGGAGCCGUGACAUGGGCACUGAUCGGGCAGCAAUCAGACCUCUCAUGGACCUACAGGUGAGUCCACAGACAAGUAGAUUCCUCUGUAUUAAGUCAUACUAGUCAGAUUUGUAUUGUCAUGCCUACGUUUGUUUCAAACCAUUUUGGACAUGUA